GACUGCGUUGCUGCAGUAACGGGGCCUGCAGGGCGAGGCGAGGCGCUGCGAUGGGCGAGGAGCGACGGCCGGUCGCGCUGCACUCCUUGCCGGGUGGCGUGCGGGCCUUGCUGCGCUCCGCCGUGACGGUGCCGACGCUCGGCCGCUGCCUGGAGGAGCUGCUGCUCAACAGCCUGGCGGCCGGCUGCGGCUGUGCUGCGGCGCGCGUGCACGCGCAGGUCGGGCGCGUGCAGGUGGCGGACAACGGCGCGGGGCUGGAGCGCGCGGCCGCGGAGCUGGCGGGAGCGCGCUACCACAGCGGGCGCGCGGCCCGGCCUGAGGCGGGGCCCGGCCACACACAGGGCCCUGGAGUAGGGCCCGGGGCCUGGGCGGAGGCGGAGCCUGCUGUAGGACCCGGGGCCGGGCAGGAGAGGGGGCCCGCGGUGGCUCCAGGGCUCUGGGGUGGCGAGGGCGCUGGGGCCUGGGCUGGAGAGUGUGCUGGGCCUGGUGGUCGAGAGAGCAGUGGGUCCUGGGCUGAGGCUGACGUGGGCCCGGGUUGCCGUGGCGAGGCCCUGGCCAGCAUUGCUGACCUAUCGUCCGUGCUGGAGAUAGUGAGCAGGCCCAAGGGUGGGGGCAGCCAGACCUGGGUCAAGCUGUUCCGGGACGGUCAGGCACGGCCAGUGUACGAGGCAGAGACUCCUCGGCCCAGCCCCGGCACCACUGUCACGGUGUGCGGCCUGUUCCACCGCUUGCCGGUGAGGAGCCGCCGCAUGGGGCAGGGCCUGGAGUGGGAGCAGAUCCGCCACAGGCUCCAGGCCCUCAGCCUCCUGCACCCGAGUGUCUCUUUCACCGUGCGUAACGAGGCCUCUGCCGCUGCCGCCGGCUCCCUGGUGGUACGGCUCCCUAAAGCCAGCAACGUGCCGGCUCGCUUUGCUCAGAUCUACGGGGCGCAAAAAGCGGCAGCUCUGGGCCCUGUCCAGCACUCUAAUGGCCACUUCCACAUGAGGGGCUACAUCUGCCGUGAGGGCCACCAUACCAAGGCCCAGCGCCUGAUCUUCAUCAACGGGCGGCUGGUGCUGAAGACGCGUGUGCACAAGCAGCUGGACCUGCUGAUCCACCGGCACAGUGCAAUCUGCAGGGCAGGCCCAUGCAUUGGCACCCGUGCAGCCUCUGACCUGCACCCUGUCUACAUCAUCAACAUUAGCUGUGGCCAUAGCCAGUACGAUGCGUGCUGGGAGACUGGGCGCACCCUGCUGGAGUUCACCGCGUGGGACCUGCUGCUCAGCUGUCUGGAAGAGGGGGUCCGUGCCUUCCUGUCCAAGCACCAACUACUGCUGGACCCCUCUGAGGAGCAACAAACUAUCCAGCUGCCUACACUCAACCCACAGCCAGUGUUCAUUAAUGAAAGGACAGCAGUGCAGUCCAAGUGUGUGCACAGGCAAGCUGCUGUACCAGACACUUCUCAGGAGGAUGCUGCCACUGUUGAGAAGGAUGGGGCAUUGGAUGUGGAAGGUGAAGAACCUUUGGGCACUGCCCCACACUCUACUGAAGCCCCAAGAUGCCACCGGCACAUUGCUGGUCAGCAGACAAAUGUGUGUGGCGUGUCCCCAUGUGAUAGCCCCCUGGGCAAAGUAAGUGGCUGUGACAGUCCUGAGACCCAGCGGGCAGAGGAGCAGCACAGCACACAGAGCGUGCUGGCACAAGGAGAUGGCAUUCAGCAGCUUGCUGCUGCUUAUGAGAGUGAGACCUCGUCACCGGGAGAGGGGGUGCAGGGAGCAGCAGGGGACACUGGUGGCUCACAGACAGGGCAGGGAGGGGUAUCGGGAAAGCAGGCACACGGGAAGGUUCAGGGAGUUGGAGUGGAACUUUGUGUCACAGGUCUCAUAACCCAUGUCAUCCCCAAGCAGAUGAAAGCGUUUGAGCUUGCAAACACAAGCUCUGUGGACAGUGACCUCUUCCACCCAGGUCCCAUGAGUGCCUGGGAUACUAACGAGAGGUUGAAUAAGGGACAAAGGCAGCUCUCGUCUGGGGGCAGAGCGCUAUGGAGCACCACCAAGAAAAUCCCACCCCAAACACGUGUGAAUAAAGGUCAGGAAAUUCCGAGUAGUUGGCAGUCUCACGAGGUUGCUGAAUCUAUGAUCACACCUGGGAUGGGCUUGGCACCGGAGUCCAGGAGCAGAGAUGCUGCUAGCUGUGUUUAUGCUCAAGCCAGGUUCCACAGAAAGCUGAGCAUGCCUCCAAUUACCGGAUCAUUGGAUGCCUUCAGAAGAGAAUACGCAAAGGGUGGUGGUCAGGACAGAGGCAGCUCCUCCCAAGGCACUGUGCUAUCUCACCGCGAUCCCAACAUGACAUCCCGACUCGUGAAUGUGACAGGAAUCAAAGAGGCAGAAAAUGUGAAGCAGGCUCGGUGCACUGAUAACACCCAGACGGAGAGUUUACUGCACGACCAGCCUGGCUAUGAUGGGUUUCUUACGACUUUGUGUUCUCGUGACAUCAGCUUGACAGCUGAACAUGUACCCAAAGUAUUGCCCAGUAAUAUUGCCCCACCUACUCAUUCACAAACCAAGAACCUUGAACCAAGAACCUUGGCUGCGAAGUUGUCCAGAUUAAAACAUGGCCAAUGUGAGGGAGAGAAGAAUUACGAGCCCACUGUUGGGAGUUUGGCAGACUGUUCUCCUCUGUGCCGGAGCUCCUGGAGGCUGCUGCAACUGGGAGAGGAAUCAGCAACAUGUUCACCUCCAGAACCAAUCCCCUCAGCAGCAACAGAGUCUGAAAAAGGUGUCGGAAGAGAGGAGUGUCAGGAAAGCUGCACUGAAAGAGAAAGCACCCUUGCUGUGAUUCACAGAGAGCCUUGUCCAGGGACAUUGUCUGGUGCUGUAACUGAAGUUGGGACCAGUACACAGACUCAGCUGCACAUUGAUGACCAGGCCCACAGUGAUGGAGCUGUUGAAGCGAACAAGGUUGGAGACUUGGUGAUGAGGCGGGAGGAAUCUGACGCCACAUGUAUUCACCCAGGAGCGUUACCUGAUGGGGCAGAGGUUUGUGUGGAGACCUGUGAAGGUGAUGCUUGGGAAGGUUUAGCUUCAGAAUGGCUGCAGUACUUUGAUGGGUCUGUGGGGAAGACAAUGUAUGUGAACAAUGCGACUGGAGUGAGUUGUUACGACCUUCCAACAGAGCCCCAGACUCGAGCCGCUUGCACUAAAGACUUCACAACCAUGGCAGUGAAUGUCCUCACAAAGACUGGCUGCCCCUACAGGUGCUACCCAUUCCGCAGUCAGGUCUUGCUCCCCUUCCUGCCGCGGCCACGCGACGAGAGGCAUGGAGCCAGUGAUGGGAGAGAUGCUGUGUUGGGAUCGAGUGACUCGCUGCGUUCCAUGUUUCUGGAGUGGAAGAACCCUGUCUUUCUGCGGGCCCCAGAGGUUGCUGUUGAUGUCGGGAGUGUGCAUAUGGACAGUUUAGCAGUGAAGAUCCACAACAUCUUGUAUCCCUACCGCUUUACAAAGGACAUGAUCAGAUCAAUGCAGGUCCUUAAUCAGGUGGACAACAAGUUCAUUGCCUGCUUGAUAAACACCAGACUGGACAAAGGGACUGUAGGCAGUAACUUGCUGGUAUUGGUGGAUCAGCACGCUGCUCACGAGAGGGUGCGUCUGGAACAACUCAUCUCAGACUGCUACGAGUUGGUGCCGGGUCAGUGUGGCCGCAAGAGGCUGACCACAUCGACCGUCUGUCCACCCAUGGAGAUCCCCUGCACUCCGGACGAGGCCAGGCUGCUACGGCUACACCUGGAUCAGUUGGAGGUUGCUGGCGUGGAGCUGGAGUUGGGAGAGGCUGAGGAUGCGGGCGUAUUUGUGAAGAGGGUGCCGGCCUGCUUCGUGCAGAGAGAAGCAACUGAGGCUCGAAGAGGACGACAACCCGUCACUCAAACCAUAGUACAGGAGUUCCUCAGAGAACAGAUUGAGGUGCUCCAGACCAGGGGAGGUGCCCCCGCCGUGCUGUCACGGACCAUGCUGAAGGUGCUCGCCUCACAGGCCUGUCACGGGGCGGUGAAGUUUGGCCACGGUCUGAGUGUGGACGAGUGCAGAAGCCUGAUGGGUUCUCUGGCCAGCUGUCACCUGCCCUUCCAGUGUGCACAUGGCCGGCCCUCCAUCCUCCCUCUGGCAGACCUGGAUCACCUGAAUCACCUGGACAUCAACCACCAGGUUGAACACAGACCUAACUUACAGAAGCUGUGGACAGCGUGGACACUGUGGACGGGCUGUAAAGCUGUUCAAUGAUUGCACGAAGCUGAGAAACCUGGAGCUGUGCUGUACCAGCCUGCUGCUUUGGUAUGAAAUGGGCAAAGGCCCAGUGUACCACCCUGAGGCUGCACGGGUAUCUUGACCUCUUGGCCACCAUGAUCUUUCAACGUGUGAUACUGGAGACGACACCACCAUUGUGGGCCGGAUAUCAAAUAAUGAUGAGACAGAGUACAGGAAGGAGAUCGAGAACCUCGUGACCUGGUAUUGACUGAACAACCUGUCUCUCAAUGUCAGCAAGAUAAAAGAGACAGUGAUGGACUUCAGGAAGCAAAGUGGUUCACAUAUUCCAGUUUACAUUGAUGACACUGAAGCAGAGAUAGUUUAAAACUUCAGAUUCCUCGAAGCCAAUAUCACCAACAACUUCUGGACCACCCAUAUUGAAGCAACGAUCAAGAAAGCACACCAACGCCUCUACUUCCUUAGAACGCUUAGGAAGUUUGGCAUGUCCCCUACAACUCUCACCAACUUCUACAGAUGCGCCAUAGUAAGCAUUUUAUCGGUAUGCAUCACAGCUUGGUUUGGGAACAGCUCCAUCCAGAACUGCAAGAAAUCGCAGAGAACUGUGGAUGCAGCCCAGAUCAUCAUACAACACAACCUCCCUUCCAUUGACUCCAUCUACACUUCACACUGCCUCGGCAAGGCCAGCAGCUUAAUCAAGGAUGAGUGGGCGGCGCGACUCACGUCGCAGCGUCCUCUGCAGUCCGUCUGUCUUUUUAUUAUUUUCUGUCUCGUUUUUAAUGUCGUUUUUAUUUUAUUUGUUUUGACGGGGUGUGUUUGUGGGGGGCGGGGAAACUUUAAAAUCUUUCCUCUGCACGGGAGACCAGACCUUUUCUUUGUCGGGUCUCCGUUGUCGUUGGGGCUGCAACGUGGAGCGGCCUCCAGCAGGAAGAACCUGGGGCUCCAGUCGCGGAGCUGCAGACUUACAUACCAUCACGAAGCUGGCUGAGUCCGGAGCGGGUGGUGCGGUGGUGGCGCGCUGCUGUGACCCGACCCCCGGAGAUUCGGAGGCUCCAACCGCAGGUCUGGCAGACAGGAACACCGGGAGCCCCGCGGGUCCCUGCUGGGAGACUGCUUUUCGGGGCUUCCGCAACGGCGACUUCACUCGCCCGAGUUACGGGGUUGAAGAUUACCUAGAGCAGGGCCUUACAUCACCGCCCUGCGCGGCUUGGAAUGGCUGCGGGACUUUGCUAGCGCCCGCCGGGGGCUCCAACAACAAGACCCGGAGCGUGGCCUUGCAUCACCCGGCGUGGCUUUAAUGGCCGCGGGACAAUUACCAUCGCCCGCCGGGGGCUUUGACUCUGACAUCGGGGGGGAGAGGGGAGUGCAGGGGAGAGAUACGUUUUU